rnacentral:sRNA from 1 species
GGGAGCCGUAUGCUUAAAUUGGGCACGUACGGUUCUGAGAGGGGUAUACAUCAACUUAAU